rnacentral:rRNA from 1 species
UACGGAGGGUGCGAGCGUUGUUCGGAAUCACUGGGCGUAAAGCGCGUGUAGGCGGCCUGCUAAGUCUGAUGUGAAAGCCCGAGGCUCACCCUCGGAAGUGCAUUGGAAACUGGCAGACUGGAGUCCCGGAGAGGAGGGUGGAAUUCCUGGUGUAGCGGUGAAAUGCGUAGAUAUCAGGAGGAACACCGGUGGCGAAGGCGGCCCUCUGGACGGUGACUGACGCUGAGACGCGAAGGCCAGGGGAGCAAACGGG